rnacentral:rRNA from 1 species
AUUGGACGCUGGCGGCAGGCUUAACACAUGCAAGUCGAGCGGGGUGAUGGUGCUUGCACUAUCACUUAGCGGCGGACGGGUGAGUAAUGCUUAGGAAUCUGCCUAUUAGUGGGGGACAACAUCUCGAAAGGGAUGCUAAUACCGCAUACGUCCUACGGGAGAAAGCAGGGGAUCACUUGCGACCUUGCGCUAGUAGAUGAGCCUAGGUCGGAUUAGCGAGUUGGUGGGGUAAAGGCCUACAAAGGCGACGAGCUGUAGCGGGUCUGGGAGGAUGGUCAGCCCCCCUGGGACUUAGGCACCGCCCAGACUCCUACGGGAGGGAGCAGUGGGGAAUAUUGGACAAUGGGGGGAACCCUGAUCCAGCAAUGCCGCGUGUGUGAAGAAGGCCUUAUGGUUGUAAAGCACUUUAAGCGAGGAGGAGGCUCUUUUGGUUAAUACCCAAGAUGAGUGGACGUUACUCGCAGAAUAAGCACCGGCUAACUCUGUGCCAGCCGCCGCCGUAA